UGGCUGAACCUCGUAAAAUAUUAGCUUUACGAUCGAAAUUACCGUUAACCACGAUGAUAACGAAACUAUGAAUCUUUUCAAUCCAAGAAAUUCAAAGUAAGAAAAAUAUUUAAUUAUCCAUACUCAUUACCGGGUUGGUUUAUAGUUUUGAACUAAUUAAAUAAUAAUUUCGGUAUUUCACAAAAUUCAUAUUUACACACAAUAGAUGUGCAAGCUCGUUUUCUCCCGACUGCACGCGUUAUCUUGUAUAAAACUUUGUGACGUUACUCGCCAUGCUCAUCUCCACUUCUCAGCUUUUCAAUUAUGUAAAGUGACAGGUAGAACUGCUUAGAAAUUAUUUACAUACACGCGUAUAUUAAUAAGGGUCACCUUCAUGGCAUGAGUCAGGCUGGUUCCCCACUAACUUGUGUCUUACCCCUCGCCGCUAUACUGAAGUUCGAACUGGUUCACGGCUUCCUUAAUCGUACAUAACCUUGACUGGCACCGCUGUUAAAGGCGUGCCAUCUUCUUCAAUAAUCUCUUCACACUGUCAUUCUUUCUUUUUUAAUGGGCGAAGUAAAUAAAGUAUUACACACACACACACACUAAUCCUGUCGAUGUUUAGUUUACAGGUGUUUGUAACUUGUUUGUUAGUUAGUGUUCAUGCUUAUUAGAUGAACCGUGCAUUUGAUUUUUGUUACUUAGCAUGAGUUCAUGGUUAUCUCUCGUUGUGACUGCAUCGAGUCAUAAGCUAGCCAAGAAAGACUACAACUCACCGUAGCUAUGGAAUGCUGCUUUUUGGAUGCUUUUCCCACGAUGAAGAUCUGUUCUUGCUGUAACCCAACAGAAGAGUACACCCAGAUAUCUUUACUUGAGCCGUACGCCACGUGGAUUAUGAUGUCGACCUGUGAAAGAUCCAGUUCAGUAGCAUCCGUCAAACAACUCUUAAUGUUGUUUCCAUUUCUUGUUCAUUGUUGAGAGAAACAUGAAUACAUUAGUUUUUUUCUGUGCCCAUAAAGUUCGAACAAAACAAACAUCGCUACCCAAAAUAGUGGUCCAGUCUAAGAACUUACUAGUGAAAGCAAAAAAAAGAGAAUAUUAAUGUCGCCCCACGCUACAUCUGCCACAUCCAGUGUAGACGACGCCUUCUGCCAGAACUGUGUGAACCAGAUAAAAGGAGGUUAAUUGCAGGUAUCAACUCACUUGCAACAAGAGGGUAAGGGACUUUUAACCUGUGAGGUUACGGGCCAUAGGGAUGACCAGGGAAAAGGCCAUUAUCAUACCCAACGGACUGCCAAACAUGAAGAAGUCACUAACUUCAAAUUCAAUCUUGUGUUGAAUGCUCUGAUCACUAGAAGUUGAACUGGAGCGACGAGGAAGAGGAGCCGAAAGAAGUCUGGUGUAGC